UACAACCUUUUGCUGAGUCCAAAUUUUGGAGCGGGGGAACCAAUUAUGUAGCUUUUUGCUACUUGGGGCGAAUCUUUUUUAAGUAGGGAAACUCUCACUUCCCGAGUCCGACAGCUAACCUCGUAAGCGUAAUGGGAGAGGAAGG
rnacentral:sRNA from 2 species